GACUGCAUCUCUCCCCAGCUCCUGCAGUCCAGAGUGGGCAAGGAAAGCACUCAUGCCUAGCAAGCUCCCCUGCCUGGCGUGGAUGUCACGUACAGGAUCUCUUAGGAUACAUCUUUAAUUACUGUGUUCUCUUAAUUACUCCUUUUGAUUUCCCUGACUAUAGCGUGAAGAUGAAGGGAAGACAAGGUCUUCAGUCAUGACAGAAGCAAAAAUUUCACUGCUGUCUGCUCUGAGGGAUGCACCCCAAAAAAAGAGCUGUCACGAUAGCUGGAGAAAAGAAGGCACUUACAUACCAAGCACUCAUCAACUGGCAUCCCUUAGCUGCUUAAUACUGCUGUCUGCACAAGAAGAAAAAAAUCAUAGUACCAGACAACGUAAUAGUAGGAGGAGGCGAUUCUCUAAAGAGAGUGAAGGCAAACUUAUGAGGAGCGUAGGGCUCAUCUCGCCUGGUGGUGUACACAGAGCUGGAGCCUGCACUGUACCUGAUGUGACAACUCAAGGAAAUGCACCCAAGGGAAAAUUACAGCACGUGGCAUUCACCUUGGUUCAGUUCUGUAGUGCUUUUUGUACGUCCCCCUGACAGUGGAUGUUAAGAUACAGCCAAACCUUGCUCGCUCUGCCCUCCCUGUGCCAUCUGCUCGUGAACUGAGGAGCUGGCAGCCCCGCAGGCAACGCUCCCACCACCUGCUCCCGCUGAGCCUUCCUCCCUCAGCAGCUCUCCCCCUCACUGUUCCACCAGUGCACACAGGAUUCAUUAGGAACUGGCUGCAGAGUGCUGCCAUCGCAGCGAUCCCCCCUCCUGCCCAUCUCCCCGCUGUAGGCCUCAGGUCUGAGGCAUGGCAUGGCAAGCAGCUACAGGCUAUCCUAUCCAACAGCAGGGCUCCCUUCCCUUCCCUUC